UUAGUACUCCCUCCGUCCGAAAAUACUUGUCAUCAAAAUAAAUAGAAAGAGAUGAAUCUAGAACUAAAAUACAUCUAGAUACAUCCCCUUUUACCCAUUUCGAUGACAAGUAUUUCCGGACGGAGGGAGUAGUAU
rnacentral:pre_miRNA from 1 species